GGCACUAUUUUCACUUCUGCCAUCCAGAAGACAGCCAAUGACAGACUGCUGUAUUUUUACUUGAGAUUGGACUUGUAUAUUAUAGCAACCUCAUACUCUGAAAUCCACAGCUUGCAGCAGUGAAUAAAUAAGUCCAUCAGAAAGUGCUUUAAAGAAAAGCAAUUCCAACUCAGACCAUCCUCUUUCUAGUAGAUGCAUUCAAAUACUAGUGGUAAUAGAUAUCUUACUAAUUGUAUUUCUGUCACCUCUCAGGUUCCAUGUCAUAAGAGGGAGGAGGGGAUGAAAAUCUUACCUCUUUUAAAUGAGAUGUUAUGCAACUUGAAUGGAGAACUCAAACAAUAAGUCUACACAAACAGACAUGCUGUCCCAGGCAAUGUCCAACCUUGACCUUGCAGAGGAUCAACCUCAGGCCUCUCCAGGAUCUUGCUCCUCAGAUGUCUCCAAUAAUGGUACCCAGAAGUAUCCAGGACCUGCAUCUUCCUACACCGGCGUCAUUCAAUAGCACAAAGACCCCUCACACUCAAGCAAUAGCAUUCAGAAAUGUCCAAACUACUACGGUACCUUCAGCAACAUUGAAUAGGGAAGCCCAGCUCCUAAAGAUGUCUCCUCCAGCAACAGCAUCUAACU